GAGCAUGUGGUUUAAUUCGACGCAACGCGAAGAACCUUACCGGGGCUUGACAUCCUCUGACAGCCCAUGAAAGUGGGAUUUCCUCUUUUUGGGGGACAGGGAGACAGGUGGUGCAUGGUUGUCGUCAGCUCGUGUCGUGAGAUGUUGGGUUAAGUCCCGCAACGAGCGCAACCCCUACUUUUAGUUGCCAGCAUUAGGUUGGGCACUCUAGAGGGACUGCCGGUGACAAACCGGAGGAAGGUGGGGAUGACGUCAAAUCAUCAUGCCCCUUAUGUCCCGGGCUACACACGUGCUACAAUGGCCUGUACAGAGGGCGGCGAAGCCGUGAGGCGGAGCAAAUCCCAAAAAGCAGGUCACAGUUCGGAUUGCAGGCUGCAACUCGCCUGCAUGAAGUCGGAAUCGCUAGUAAUCGCAGGUCAGCAUACUGCGGUGAAUACGUUCCCGGGCCUUGUACACACCGCCCGUCACACCACGAAAGCCUGCAACACCCGAAGCCGGUGACUUAACCGCAAGGAGAGAGCCGUCGAAGGUGGGGCCGGUGAUUGGGGUG
rnacentral:rRNA from 1 species